AUUGAACGCUGGCGGCAUGCCUUACACAUGCAAGUCGAACGGCAGCACGGGAGCAAUCCUGGUGGCGAGUGGCGAACGGGUGAGUAAUACAUCGGAACGUGCCCUGUGGUGGGGGAUAACCCGGCGAAAGCCGGACUAAUACCGCAUGAGACCUGAGGGUGAAAGCGGGGGACUCGAAAGGGCCUCGCGCCAUGGGAGCGGCCGAUGUCAGAUUAGCUAGUUGGGGGGUAAAGGCCUACCAAGGCGACGAUCUGUAGCUGGUCUGAGAGGACGACCAGCCACACUGGGACUGAGACACGGCCCAGACUCCUACGGGAGCAGCAGUGGGGAAUUUGGACAAUGGGCGCAAGCCUGAUCCAGCCAUGCCGCGUGAGCGAU
rnacentral:rRNA from 1 species